UUGUAGGUAAAAUCUUCAUUUUGCUGAAAAAGUUAAGAUCUCUAAAUAGUUCCGACACUUCAAAUAAUAAGCAGAGAAAGACAUUAUUCUUAUGGUAUUUCAGAAUAAAAUUAAAUCAGAGAUUUGUUUUCAAACUGACCGUGUUUCCUACAUAGAGAACCAUGAUCAAACCAGAAUGAUAAGUAUAGGAUCCCCAAAGGA
rnacentral:lncRNA from 1 species